AUGUGUUAUAGUUAAAAUCAAUUCUCUUUUAAUAAUAUGUAUGAGAUAUACUAUAUUUGUGUUCUUUUGAUCGAACUUUUUUAUAAACGUUACCGUAGUAUUAAUACAAAAUUAACUUAAACACAUGAUAACAUUUAGUGUUUUGACAGUUGAGGAGAUUUUGUUUUGACUAAUAGUCCUUUUACUAUACCCUAUUAGGUAUUAACUCUAAAAGGAAAUUUUUUUUAAUUAAGAAAAACUAUAUAAGGACACGUUUUUGCUAAGUUUAUAUGCAAUAUGCAACAAUUGUGUAUGUUUCUAUUCUACUUUUAUCUAAGGACGCGUUUUUGCUAAUUUUAAAUGCAAUUUGAAACAAUUGUGUAUUAUUUUUACUAACAGUCGUGUAUGUUUUUUAUUGACUAACAAUUGUGUAUGUUUCUAUUCUACUUCUAGCAGGAUAUUCACUGUUCAUUUUUUUCGACAACCAUAUUCACUGUUUUUGUUUUGUUAAAUAUUAUAUAUAAUUUAAAAUUUCGGAAUUUUAAGUAUUUUUUACAAUUUGGAAUUUGUUACAAAUAUAUUAUAUCUACAUUUAUAAUUAUUGAUCGAACAUGAAGCUGAUUAAGUUAAGGUGUAUGAAACCAUUAUGUUUCUAUUCUAUCACAAGGGGAAUUUAAUACUAGUUGUUAGUUGUUACAGCUAUAUGAGCUCUACUUUUUAUUUAAGUCGAAUUAAAGCUGUUACAGAAUUUCGCCUAUUUGUGCUUAAAAAUAAAGACCUAAGAAAAUUUAAGAAUAAUUGGUAAAGCCAAUAACUUUCAUUCAGAUUUUUAUCUUUUUAUUUAAUCAAAUCGAGAUAUAAGAUGGUGAUUUUUGAUUUUUUUUUUUUUUAAUAUUUUAUUCAUUUCUUCCCCGAAAGGCAUCGGAACAGAACAAUACAGCCGGUACACCGGAGAAACUUCAAUCCUAGAUUACAGGUGAUUUAAGCUAGGCUAAAAAUUACAGGUGUAAGCAGAGAAGAUAUAAGGUUGUGGGGAAGUAGACUGAGGAAGCAUGCUCCCUCCUCCGUUAGACACCGCAGCCACCAGAUCCAGUUUCCAGAAACUUCUCACG
rnacentral:lncRNA from 1 species